rnacentral:rRNA from 1 species
UACGGGGGGAGCAAGCGUUGUUCGGAUUUACUGGGCGUAAAGGGCGCGUAGGCGGCGUAACAAGUCACUUGUGAAAUCUCCGGGCUUAACCCGGAGCGGCCAAGUGAUACUGUUGUGCUAGAGUGCGGAAGGGGCUACUGGAAUUCUCGGUGUAGCGGUGAAAUGCGUAGAUAUCGAGAGGAACACCUGCGGCGAAGGCGGGUAGCUGGGCCGACACUGACGCUGAGGCGCGAAAGCUAGGGGAGCGAACAGG